rnacentral:rRNA from 1 species
UACGGAGGAUGCAAGCGUUAUCCGGAAUGAUUGGGCGUAAAGCGUCCGCAGGUGGCUGUGUAAGUCUGCUGUUAAAGAGUCUAGCUCAACUAGAUAAGAGCAGUGGAAACUACACGGCUAGAGUACGUUCGGGGCAGAGGGAAUUCCUGGUGUAGCGGUGAAAUGCGUAGAGAUCAGGAAGAACACCCGUGGCGAAGGCGGCUCUCUGGGACGGUACUGACGCUGAGACGCGAAAGCGUGGGGAGCGAACAGG